rnacentral:rRNA from 1 species
UACGUAGGGUGCAAGCGUUAAUCGGAAUUACUGGGCGUAAAGCGUGCGCAGGCGGUCUUGCAAGACAGAUGUGAAAUCCCCGGGCUCAACCUGGGAACUGCAUUUGUGACUGCAAGGCUGGAGUGCGGCAGAGGGGGAUGGAAUUCCGCGUGUAGCAGUGAAAUGCGUAGAUAUGCGGAGGAACACCGAUGGCGAAGGCGAUCCCCUGGGCCUGCACUGACGCUCAUGCACGAAAGCGUGGGGAGCAAACAGG